rnacentral:rRNA from 1 species
CCCUUAGAUGUUCGGGGCCGCACGCGCGCUACACUGAAGGUAGCAGAGGGUGUGAUCGCUCCCGCCCCGAAGCGGGGCGGGUAAACCGUUGAACUACCUUCGUGGCUUGGGACCGGGGCUUGGAACUGUUGCCCGCGAACGAGGAAUUCCCAGUAAGCGCGAGUCAUAAGCUGGCGUUGAUUACGUCCCUGCCCUUUGUACACACCGCCCGUCGCUACUACCGAUUGAACGGUUUAGUGAGGGCAUCGGACUGGUCUCGGCCCGCCCUUCACCGGUGCGGCGCCGCCGGCCGGGAAGACGCUCGAACUUGAUCGUUUAGAGGAAGUAAAAGUCGUAACA